rnacentral:rRNA from 1 species
AAAGACAGGCGGCUGCUUACACAUGCAGUCGUACGGGCGGGGGUGACCUCGUCAGUGGCGGACGGGUGAGUAACGCGUAGGUAUCUGUCCUUGGGUGGGGGAUAACCGUGGGAAACUGCGGCUAAUACCGCAUAUGUCCUGAGGGGCAAAGGCCUGAGAGGGUCGCCUGAGGGUGAGCCUGCGUCCGAUUAGCUGGUUGGUGGGGUAAUGGCCUACCAAGGCGAUGAUCGGUAGCUGGUCUGAGAGGAUGGUCAGCCACACUGGGACUGAGACACGGCCCAGACUCCUACGGGAGGCAGCAGUGGGGAAUAUUGGACAAUGGGCGAAAGCCUGAUCCAGCAAUGCCGCGUGGGUGAAGAAGGUCUUCGGAUUGUAAAGCCCUUUCGGCGGGGACGAUGAUGACGGUACCCGCAGAAGAAGCCCCGGCUAACUUCGUGCCAGCAGCCGCGGUAAU